CAAGGGUAUGGCUGUUCGCCAUUUAAAGUGGUACGCGAGCUGGGUUUAGAACGUCGUGAGACAGUUCGGUCCCUAUCUGCCGUGGGCGCUGGAGAACUGAGGGGGGCUGCUCCUAGUACGAGAGGACCGGAGUGGACGCAUCACUGGUGUUCGGGUUGUCAUGCCAAUGGCACUGCCCGGUAGCUAAAUGCGGAAGAGAUAAGUGCUGAAAGCAUCUAAGCACGAAACUUGCCCCGAGAUGAGUUCUCCCUGACUCCUUGAGAGUCCUGAAGGAACGUUGAAGACGACGACGUUGAUAGGCCGGGUGUGUAAGCGCAGCGAUGCGUUGAGCUAACCGGUACUAAUGAACCGUGAGGCUUAACCUUACAACGCCGAAG
rnacentral:rRNA from 1 species